AUUGAACGCUGGCGGCAUGCUUUACACAUGCAAGUCGAACGGUAACAGGUUAAGCUGACGAGUGGCGAACGGGUGAGUAAUGCAUCGGAACGUGCCCGGUCGUGGGGGAUAACGCAGCGAAAGCUGCGCUAAUACCGCAUACGAUCUGAGGAUGAAAGCGGGGGACCGUAAGGCCUCGCGCGAUCGGAGCGGCCGAUGGUAGAGUAGGUAGUUGGUGGGGUAAAGGAUCACCAAGCCAACGAUCUGUAGCUGGUCUGAGAGGACGACCAGCCACACUGGGACUGAGACACGGCCCAGACUCCUACGGGAGGCAGCAGUGGGGAAUUUUGGACAAUGGGCGAAAGCCUGAUCCAGCAAUGCCGCGUGCAGGAAGAAGGCCUUCGGGUUGUAAACUGCUUUUGUACGGAGCGAAAAGGUCUCCUCUAAUACAGGGGGCUCAUGACGGUACCGUAAGAAUAAGCACCGGCUAACUACGUGCCAGCAGCCGCCGUAA
rnacentral:rRNA from 1 species